rnacentral:rRNA from 1 species
AUGGACCUCCACCUCCCCAUAGUCCACCCAGGCGCGGUGCCGGCGGGCAACGUCGAGAUGGGCCACCAAGCGCAAGCAGCAGCCGUGAACCCGCCGCCACCAGCGGCUCACGGCCAGCCGGCCGUGAACCAGCAGCAGCUCGGCGGGCAGGGACCGAACACCUGGGUCGGCAACGACGCCAACACGCUGCUGGUGGUGGCCACGCUGAUCACCACGCUAACCUACCAGCUCGGCACCAACAUCCCCGGCGGGUACUGGCAGGAGACAAAGUCGCUGGACGGCAGGGAGCUGUACCGCGCCGGCGACCCCAUUAUGCGCGACCUGCACCGCCCAAGGUACUGGCUGUUCAUGGCGGCGAGCUGGGUUGGGUUCGCGAGCUCGAUGGUGAUGACGCUGAGCCUGCUGGUGCGGAUGUCGGCGGACUCGCGGCACGUGCGGUGGUCGUUCGUGGUGGCCUACUCCAGCCUCGUGCUCACCUUCGUCGUGUCGCAGCCCAGGACGCACCUGUCGAUGGACAUCCUCGUCUGGGCGGGCGUCCUCGCCUUCCUCUGGCUCGUCAUCAGCGUCCACCCGGAGCACCGCACGCGCAUCGUCCAGGCACUCUGCUGCAGCCAUCGCAACUAG